AUCAGAACACAGAGCUGUCUGUCGUUCUUUUUUUAGCAAGCAAAGUACUCUCGUUUCGUGGCUCCGGCAUUUUGCUUUUCCAAGAAGUGCUUAGGUGUUAUCAGAACAGGCGGAAUCGAUAACCAUGGACAUGGUACUGGUGCCACCCAUCCGAAAUAGAACCAAGAAAGACCAUCCAGGUCCGGUAGAACAUCAUUCCGGUAAAGUCGAAGCUUGCCAUCGUGCCUACUCACGGUUAUGGAAAACUGAUAUGUAGCAGUCGGAGAUGGCGGUGUACUACCAGUAUCCGGAAGCUGAGGGAAAUUAAGGAAGCGAGACGGGCCCUUUAACCUGCAUUUGGGAAGCAAACCAGACAUACGCAUUUUUAUCCUUACCAACGGAAUGGUCGUCCCCAAUGCCAGCCGGAAUGGUAGGUAAUUUCAAUUGACAUUGGUGUUUGUAGAAGAAAUAUGUGAAUAAAGAAUAUAAUUUAA